rnacentral:rRNA from 1 species
UUCUGUUUUAUUCCUGUUGAGGAUGGGAUGUCAUAAGAACUAGAGAGGCUUUCUACUUUCUAACCUACACCCUCUGAUUAGGUCCUUGAGGGACAAAUAUGUGGAUUUUCAAGGUUUUUCAAUGAUCUUCAAACCAGAGCUUGAAAAAGGCAGGUAGAAUAGGUCUUAGAAAGAUUUGGUGCCAGCACUAGCGGCCAUACCUUCGGGCCAAGUCUCUCCAAUCUCCGGGUAUAGUGGGAAUCAGGCAUGUAGGACGUGUGGUGAGAACAGAGGUGAAAUCCAAACCCUCCCCACCUGGGUCCUAAGACCACGAGAAACUGGGUAGCGAUACGGGGAUUAGAUACCCCCUUAUCCCCAGAAGGAAAAGGACUAGGAACGAUCCUUCCGAAAAUAAAACCUCAUGGCGGUUUACUAACCAUUUAGAGACGUAUGCCUAUUAAAGGACAAUCCACCUAGAUCUCUCUCCUUUCCUCUUCUAACACCGCCGUCUGAAGGAUAAAUCGAGGGAUUUGUUCCUAAGACUCGGGUCUUUCAUCUCAAGAACCCCCAGUCAUAAGUCAGGCAGACGUUAGGGAUGAAGGAGUUUAGGUGUACGUCAAUUGUAGCUAAUUCUCAUAAACCUGGAAGGGUUUGUUCGGAGAGAAUCUAAAAGUAACGCCCCUUCACCAGGGGGGUGUGAAUGCGAGGAAAUAGUCUAUGCUCAUAUCGCCCGUCAAUCAACUUGAGAAAGUUGAUAAGUCGUAACAAAGUUAAUCUACCGGAAGGUGGAUUAGGAAAACACAUACAAUUA